AGAGUUUGAUCAUGGCUCAGAUUGAACGCUGGCGGCAGGCCUAACACAUGCAAGUCGAGCGGUAGAGAGAAGCUUGCUUCCUCUUGAGAGCGGCGGACUUGUGAGUAAUACCUAGGAAUCUGCCUGGUAGUGGGGGAUAACGUUCGGAAACGGACGCUAAUACCGCAUACGUCCUACGGGAGAAAGCAGGGGACCUUCGGGCCUUGCGCUAUCAGAUGAGCCUAGGUCGGAUUAGCUAGUUGGUGGGGUAAUGGCUCACCAAGGCGACGAUCCGUAACUGGUCUGAGAGGAUGAUCAGUCACACUGGAACUGAGACGCGGUCCAGACUCCUACGGGAGGCAGCAGUGGGGAAUAUUGGACAAUGGGCGAAAGCCUGAUCCAGCCAUGCCGCGUGUGUGAAGAAGGUCUUCGGAUUGUAAAGCACUUUAAGUUGGGAGGAAGGGCAGUAAAUUAAUACUUUGCUGUUUUGACGUUACCGAAGAAUAAGCACCGGCUAACUCUGUGCCAGCAGCCGCGGUAAUACAGAAGGUGCAAGCGUUAAUCGGAAUUACUGGGCGUAAAGCGCGCGUAGGUGGUUAGUUAGGUUGGAUGUGAAAUCCCCGGGCUCAACCUGGGAACUGCAUUCAAAACUGACUGACUAGAGUAUGGUAGAGGGUGGUGGAAUUUCCUGUGUAGCGGUGAAAUGCGUAGAUAUAGGAAGGAACACCAGUGGCGAAGGCGACCACCUGGGACUGAUACUGACACUGAGGUGCGAAAGCGUGGGGAGCAAACAGGAUUAGAUAACCCUGGUAGUCCACGCCGUAAACGAUGUCAACUAGCCGUUGGGAGCCUUGAGCUCUUAGUGGCGCAGCUAACGCAUUAAGUUGACCGCCUGGGGAGUACGGCCGCAAGGUUAAAACUCAAAUGAAUUGACGGGGGCCCGCACAAGCGGUGGAGCAUGUGGUUUAAUUCGAAGCAACGCGGAGAACCUUACCAGGCCUUGACAUCCAAUGAACUUUCUAGAGAUAGAUUGGUGGCUUCGGGAACAUUGAGACAGGUGCUUGCAUGGCUGUGUCAGCUCGUGUCGUAAGAUGUUGGGUUAAGUCCCGUAACGAGCGCAACCCUUGUCCUUAGUUACCAGCACGUWAUGGUUGGCACUCUAAGGAGACUGCCGGUGACAACCCGGAGGAAGGUGGGGAUGACGUCAAGUCAUCAUGGCCCUUACGGCCUGGGCUACACACGUGCUACAAUGGUCGGUACAGAGGGUUGCCAAGCCGCGAGGUGGAGCUAAUCCCACAAAACCGAUCGUAGUCCGGAUCGCAGUCUGCAACUCGACUGCGUGAAGUCGGAAUCGCUAGUAAUCGCGAAUCAGGAAUGUCGCGGUGAAUACGUUCCCGGGCCUUGUACACACCGCCCGUCACACCAUGGGAGUGGGUUGCACCAGAAGUAGCUAGUCUAACCUUCGGGAGGACGGUUACCACGGUGUGAUUCAUGACUGGGGUGCAA
rnacentral:rRNA from 1 species